rnacentral:rRNA from 1 species
UAUAGUCAGUCAGAGUAGACCCGAAACCGGGUGAUCUACCCAUGUCCAGGUUGAAGUUGCCGUAAAAGGCAAUGGAGGACCGAACGCACAUCCGUUGAAAAGGGUGGCGAUGAGGUGUGGGUAGGGGAGAAAUUCCAAUCGAACCCGGAGAUAGCUGGUUCUCCUCGAAAUAGCUUUAGGGCUAGCCUCGGUUUAGUCUGCUGGAGGUAGAGCACUGAAUUUCCUAGGGGGCGUCAAAGCUUACCGAAGAAUAUCAAACUCCGAAUGCCAGCCAGAUGAUGACCGGGAGUCAGACUGCACGAGAUAAGUUGGGUAGUCAAAAGGGAAAGAGCCCAGACCACCAGCUAAGGUCCCAAAGUGCGUGUUAAGUGGAAAAGGAUGUGGGAUUUCAAAGACAACCAGGAUGUUGGCUCAGAAGCAGCCAUACAUUCAAAGAGUGCGUAAUAGCUCACUGGUCGAGAGGUCCUGCGCCGAAAAUGUCCGGGGCUAAAACACGACACCGAAGCUGUGGAAUUAACUGAUGUUAAUUGGUAGAGGAGCAUUCUUAAAGGGACGAAGCAGUACCGUAAGGAGCUGUGGACUGAUAAGAAGAGAGAAUGCCGGAAUGAGUAGCGAGAGAGAGGUGAGAAUCCUCUCGGCCGAAUAUCUAAGGUUUCCAGAGUAAAGCUGAUCUGCUCUGGGUAAGUCGGGGCCUAAGGCGAGGUCGAAAGACGUAGUCGAUGGAUAACAGGUUGAGAUUCCUGUACUGCUGUAUAACAGAACUGUGGGGACACAGAGGGAGAGCACAUCCCGGGAAUGGAAAUACCGGGGCAAGCGAGGUAGGAGCUGCAAUGGCAAAUCCGUGUAGCAAUCCGAAGGCGUGAUGCAUAACGAAAUUUAGUAGUGAAUUGUGUGAGCCAGCUGUCAAGAAAAGCCGCUAUUGUUUGUACAGUACCCGUACCGUAAACCGACACAGGUGGAUGAGGAGAGAAUCCUAAGGCCGACGGAAGAAGCAUUGUUAAGGAACUCGGCAAAAUGACCCCGUAACUUCGGGAGAAGGGGUGCCCUGUGAAAGCAGGGCCGCAGUGAAAUGGCUCAAGCAACUGUUUAGCAAAAACACAGGUCUAUGCAAAACCGAAAGGUGAAGUAUAUGGGCUGACGCCUGCCCGGUGCUGGAAGGUUAAGAGGAGAGGUUAGCGCAAGCGAAGCUUUGAAUUUAAGCCCCAGUAAACGGCGGCCGUAACUAUAACGGUCCUAAGGUAGCGAAAUUCCUUGUCGGGUAAGUUCCGACCCGCACGAAAGGCGUAAUGAUUUGAGCACUGUCUCGACAAUGCAUCCGGUGAAAUUGAAGUACCAGUGAAGAUGCUGGUUACCCGCGCCAGGACGGAAAGACCCCAUGGAGCUUUACUCCAGCUUGGUACUGGGAUUCGGUAUUGCAUGUACAGGAUAGGUGGGAGACAAGGAAAUGGUGACGCCAGUUGCCAUGGAGUCAAUGUUGGGAUACCACCCUUGCAGUAUUGGAUUUCUAACAUGUGCCCGUGAUCCGGGCAGUGGACAAUGCCAGGCGGGGAGUUUGACUGGGGCGGUCGCCUCCGAAAGGGUAUCGGAGGCGCCCAAAGGUUCCCUCAGAAUGGUUGGAAACCAUUCGCAGAGUGCAAAGGCAGAAGGGAGCUUGACUGUGACACCGACGGGUGGAGCAGGUACGAAAGUAGGGCUUAGUGAUCCGGUGGUAUUAAGUGGGAAUGCCAUCGCUCAACGGAUAAAAGCUACCCUGGGGAUAACAGGCUUAUCACUCCCAAGAGUUCACAUCGACGGAGUGGUUUGGCACCUCGAUGUCGGCUCAUCGCAUCCUGGGGCUGUAGUAGGUCCCAAGGGUUGGGCUGUUCGCCCAUUAAAGCGGUACGCGAGCUGGGUUCAGAACGUCGUGAGACAGUUCGGUCCCUAUCCGGCGUGGGCGUAGGAUAUUUGAGAGGAGCUGUCCUUAGUACGAGAGGACCGGGAUGGACUGACCUCUGGUGUAUCGGUUGUUCCGCCAGGAGCAUGGCCGAGUAGCCAAGUCGGGAAGGGAUAAACGCUGAAGGCAUCUAAGCGUGAAGCCCCCCUCAAGAUGAGAUAUCCCAUAGCACAAGCUAGUAAGACCCCUUGAAGACGACGAGGUAGAUAGGGCAGAGGUGGAAGCGCAGUAAUGCGUGAAGCUGACUGUUACUAAUAGGUCGAGGGCUUAACCAA